rnacentral:rRNA from 1 species
AGAGUUUGAUUCAUGGCUCAGAUUGAACGCUGGCGGAAUGCUUUACACAUGCAAGUCGAGCGGCAGCGCGGGGGCAACCCUGGCGGCGAGCGGCGAACGGGUGAGUAAUACAUCGGAACGUGUCCUUGAGUGGGGGAUAGCUCGGCGAAAGCCGGAUUAAUACCGCAUAAGCUCUGAGGAGGAAAGCGGGGGAUUCCGCGAGGGACCUCGCGCUGUUGGAGCGGCCGAUGUCGGAUUAGCUAGUUGGUGGGGUAAAGGCCCACCAAGGCGACGAUCCGUAGCUGGUCUGAGAGGAUGAUCAGCCACACUGGAACUGAGACACGGUCCAGACUCCUACGGGAGGCAGCAGUGGGGAAUUUUGGACAAUGGGGGCAACCCUGAUCCAGCCAUUCCGCGUGAGUGAAGAAGGCCUUCGGGUUGUAAAGCUCUUUCGGACGGAACGAAACGGUUAGCGUGAAUAACGCUGACUAAUGACGGUACCGUAAGAAGAAGCACCGGCUAACUACGUGCCAGCAGCCGCGGUAAUACGUAGGGUGCGAGCGUUAAUCGGAAUUACUGGGCGUAAAGCGUGCGCAGGCGGUGGCUCAAGUCAGGUGUGAAAUCCCCGGGCUUAACCUGGGAAUUGCGCUUGAAACUAGGCUGCUAGAGUGUGGCAGAGGGGGGUGGAAUUCCACGUGUAGCAGUGAAAUGCGUAGAGAUGUGGAGGAACACCGAUGGCGAAGGCAGCCCCCUGGGUCAACACUGACGCUCAGGCACGAAAGCGUGGGGAGCAGACAGGAUUAGAUACCCUGGUAGUCCACGCCCUAAACGAU